UGGAGCAAUAAAACAUGAUUUGUUAAAGAAGCGGCAGCACGACACAAAUCAAUUAUGUGAUUACAGCAAUUAAAUUUCAAAUGAAGCAGGCAUUUUAUUGCUCAGUUGCAUUAUUUUUAUGGUGAUCAUCACUGUGUUUAUGGUGUCUGCCUUCACCUUCAAUCCCAAAAUGCCCAUGUACUAUUUGGCAUCAUUUCCCCCAUUGGAAUGAAGCAUGAAUAUGUUACAUUAAGCAUAUUGUUUAAUUUAAACAUGGUCGUUUUACAUGUUUAUGUGUUUAACGGUGCAAGAGGGAAGACAGAUGUCAAAGAGCUGGAGCCAUUUAGUUGCCGGGUCCCAGAAAUUCAUUCGGUGACCUUUCAGAGGUUGGUCCCCGGCCAUGUUGGUGCUGGGAAAACAAUUAGUCACAAAGCGAAGUUAAAUGAGGUAAAAGAAAAUAGAAACUUGAUGACCCUGAAAUGCUGGCACUCUAGAGGAGUCAAGCAACUGAGACAGAACUGCACGGAGCUGGAACUGCAAUCAAGGCUGUACAUAUUUACAGGCGUGUCAUAAAGCCAUAGUCUAUUCUCACUGUUUGUAUUAAUCUGUACCAGUGACCAUUUAAAGAGACACACACACGCACAUACUCUCCCUCUCUACCUCCCUUUCUCUCUCUCUCUCUCUCUCUCCCACAGGUCGAGGAUCAUCAUUGUUGAUGGAUUAAAAGUCCAGUUUGAAUGAGCUCGGCCAAGAGAGUAAUAAGCGGUCCACUGGCUCCGCUGUCACUUGUCAGUGCAUGUGUGUGAGUUACAGUGUGUGUGUAUUUGAAGCAGUGCCAGCAGCCCAGUGCAGUGCACUCAGCAAGAUGUUAAAGAUAAUCAGAGGCAAUGGCCCUGCAUAAACCCCCGCUAACUGGCAAGCCUGCUACAAUAUGCUGCUCAGUGAGGUAAGCUGGCACAAGCUCAUUUUUCAGACAUGCACAUUUUCACAUGCUUCAUUUUUGACAGAAAAAACAUUUUCAUUUAAAGCCACAGUGUUAAAUGUUGUUUUGUUUAUAUUACCCAAAAUAACUGGUUUGGUUUAGACCUUUCUGGAACCAUGAAUGUCCAGCCAGUAGUUUGGUCACAGGCUUAUAUUAACCAACAUUUAUAUUAUCAUGCACAUUACACUUAGAAAAGUAAGUAGGGCUGAUUGAUUUCAAAAUGAAAACAGUAAAUAUUGAUUAAUAUGCGGAUGCAGCUGUAAAAUGGUUUUCUCAUUUGGCGAGCAAAUAUUUUAUGUACUCUCAGCAUAAAAAGCAGAAUCCACCUGCAGGAAAGUUUUUCGGUGCAACAAAUAUUUUUUCAUGUCAUUUUUUUAAUGCUUUUAAAAUGUUUAAUCAUGUUUAAAAUUCAAUUAUUUUGCUUUUCAAAACAUAUUUUUCCAUACCAAAAUCCUGACUUCUGUCUUGUAAAAUAGGCCGGUGCAAUUCUCUAACGCCCUUUUGUUAUCCCGAUUUUUUCCAGAUCUUAAAACAUGAGCCAUGAGUGUUCACUGAAGCUGACAGUAUCUGUGUAUGAGAAAGGAGUACAGAUGUACAUGCACAUGUCCUCGUGACACCAGGUAAGUAGAGUUUACAGUCUGAUCAGCUGCACCUGUAUGCUUCAAUCUUAGCUCAAACUCAGAAUACUUUAGUGGUAUUUUAAUUUUUGUUUGGCGCAAAAUGCACAUCAGUUUUGACUUGUCACCUUAACCAUUUGAGACUUCUUUUGAGAAAAAUGCACAACUCAAAAGUGCACAGGUUUCUGUAUUCUAUAUCAUGACAGCAGGAGAAAGUAGCUGCCAAACAACAGGGACAAAAUAACAGGGAAUUCCAAAGAAAGUGUUUUAAUUUGGACCUCAAUCGCAUUGUUAUUAAUACGAGUAAACAAAUAAUUUUGCAUGUGGUUUUCUAACAUUGAAAAGCUUAAGACAACCAUGUCAAUGGUCUGUAUGAUAGACGGCGAUUUAAUUGUAUGGGUAAAGAAAGCAUCUUAACAUGAAACACAAUGCAGUGUGAACAUACGAACUGAUUUAAAUACAGGCAUUUAAUCUUGACAUCAAGAUUUUUCAGUAGCCUAUGAUGAGACUUGAAAAUGGUGUAAAAUAGUCUCUCACGAAGAAGCUCAGUUUGUUUUUUUAAAGUUUUGCUGGAGAUCUGAAAGAGGAGUGAUGAUGAUAAAAAGCCUGCUUUACCUUUUCAGUGUUUGUUGGAAUGAGAAAUGGUUGAGGUGUUGCUGUUUUUUGCUUUUUUCUUCAGAUGAGAGAAAGCAAUUUUGUAGGUGUUAAAACUUAAGGUCACAGAGCACAUUUACCUCUAAAAGUGACCUUAUACAAGGGGAUAUCUAAAGCAAUUCUAUUGGUUCAUACAAGCAGAAGAUAACAUCACGCUGCUUUUCUCUCCUAAUGCUGUAAAGUUGAAGAGCUCUCAGAACAGUGGGACAUUUUUCUUCCUUCCUGAAAGGUGUCUGAUCAUCAUUAGCAAUAGCACAGUUUGGCGAGCCAGAUGGAGUCAUGUCACCAGCUGACCUGUGCUGACACAACUGUCACGAAUGUAACUGUGCUGAUUUCACACACUGUUUCUGUCACUUAACACUGUUUUCAGACUUGUUUUAAUACAAUUAAUGGCGGCACCUACGUUUAUGAUUUAUCUUGAGGGAAACUAAUCUGUUAGCCAAUAACAUACCAAUGAUCCAAAGGUGGUCUGACUUUGAAGGGGAAAAUCAAAAUUAAAAGAAAACAACAAAAAAAAUCUCCUUGUGACACUUUAGGAUUAGCUUGUUUUUAGCAAAACUAGCAACUUUAUCUUUAGACUUUUAGAUGAUUUGUCAUAUUAUUAAAUUGCUAAUGAUAGGAAGACUUCAAAAAUCAUGGAUGUAUUUCAAUGAUUUAUUAACAGGUCCAAAAAAUGACAGGCUUUUAAGAUAAAGACUGAAACAUAUAAGAAGCACACCACACAUGGUUUUAACAUUGUAAAAACCUCACUAAUGACACCCUUAAGUAUCAAAAUACUAAUCAUGAAAAGAAAUCAGUGGAACCAAAAGGACUGGAGACCCCAGCUGAAAGAAACAAAUGCUGGAAAAAUGGACCAUCACUCCCAACACCUAGACCCUUAACUAACUGAGGAUUAUACUAACCCAGAGGAAACAAAAACACAGAUAACUGAACUACUCACAGCCUCCAACCCAAACACCCCACAAUCUCGGCAAAUAGAGUGGAGAAACAAGGGCAAACUGUUAGGGGGGAAAGAGGGGACAAAGAGGAAGGAGUAAACCAAAUCACACUCUUCCUUUUGUGCUGCCUGGUGUGUGUGUGUUUGUGUAAGAGAGAGAGCGACUCAGCCCUCUCCGCCUCCUUAAAUCACCUCCACUCCGGCAGAGGGACCCGAGAGGUAGAAAGGGAAAGAAACAAGGGCUGCAUAUAACAAACAAUACAGCGUUAAGUGUUUAUUCAUUUUCCAAUAUUACCAUAACUGAAUGCUUUAUAGAGUAUUUUGUCCUUCUAAAAGUUGGCUAUUGCUAUUAAGAGUUUUUUAACUCUGAUCAGAAAAAUCAGAGAACAGACACUGAGUCAGAUACAAACCUUUAUUGGAUUAGAAAAUAUCUUUCAACCUGCAAAGUCUUACUUACCAUCAAAGCCUCAAGUAUGUCUUAUCUGUCCUUCCAAUAACUUCACCUCUGUUCAGUGCCAUCGUAGACACCCACCAAUAAGCACCCAUAAAUACUCUUAUCAUAAUGCAUCUGGAACCCCAGUCCAAUCCUUAUUGAAAAUGAACAAAGAUCUGAUCUGGGAUUCAGAGGCCUAAUUCAUCCCUUUAGUGGCAAUGCAUGAGCCUCUGCUGGCUAGCUAGGGGAGCAUCAUUUAUGCUAACAGGGGCCUGUGGAGACCCAGCCAAAAAAGAAGAGAGGCAAAAAAAAUCAUUAACAUAAUGCUUCAUCUACAUACCAACCCUGGCACUCAUACACACAAACAUAAAUACACAGCACACACACACUUGCACAUACUUUGUAGUUGUUUCCAAAUGGUUGUAUUUAGUCAGACCAUUUGACACGUCAACAGACAGACAGACAGGCACAUAGCUAGAUAGCUAGAUAGCUAGAUAGAUAGAUAGAUAGAUAGAUAGAUAGAUAGAUAGAUAGAUAGAUAGAUAGAUAGAUAUUGCAAACAUGCACAUAGACAUGUCACAAGCAGAGCAGACAGUAGUGGGGGUUGGAUUGAGGUUCAGUCCCAGCUCUUUGUUUGAUGCGUGUAUGGCUGUGGCUCCUUUUAAUGAGCUUUAAUGGCGGUCCAGAAGGAUUCUAAUUAAUCUACACACACACACACACACACACACACACACACACACACACACACACACUGAGGCACAAAAGGCCCGUCUUGUCCUGUCUGUCUUGUCGACCCCUCUCUCUCUCUAUCUCUCUCUCCUUUCUCUCCUUGUCUCCCUCCAACCUCAGUGCACUCCAGCUUUUAAGAAUCCUUUCCUCUUCCUCCCUUCCUCCCUUGCCUCCCUAAUCUGUGGUGGAUAUUAAAACCAAGGCAUGUAUGUGACAGGAGGUGAAGGCCAUGAGGGGGAAAAAUGGAUGAUUUAAUUGCACCAAAGAUGGCUAUUAUUAUGAAAUUGCAAAAGCUAUUUCCAACGGCAGCGGCAACAGCAGUCAGGAGUCAUCCAAGGCCCUCUGCCACCCACCAUCCCCCAGUCUUAAGUGCCCAAUGUUCAGCCAGCAAAGGUCGUGCCACUGUUGUCACCAGUCCCCAAAUGAAGACACUAAUGAAAGGUUUGACGUCUGCUCUAUGGCCCAGUAGCUUCAUAAAGAUUCCCCCUUUUACUGGCAAAUCACAUUUCUCUUUCAUCCUUAUUAAACUAGCUUUGGACUCGGCUCUUGAAUAACCAGCCUGACAUUAACAAUUUGAAGGCUCAUUCAAGAAGUACAGUGACUCAAACCAACCUCUGAUUCACUGAAGGAAAAAAUGUGAACAGCAAUGAAAACACAAGAUUAUAUCAUAACAGAACAGGGAUUUUUAUUUAAACAUAGCAUAUUUCUCUAUUUUAUCACAGAGUCUGACUCAAACUUUGGUUGUAAUCUUAAUUCUGGAUCAGUAAUUGACUCAUUAACAUUUAGAUAUGCCACUGUUUGGCACGUACUCUCGCCUAUCAACAGGCCUACUAAACAUUCCUUAAACUUCCUGUUUACAAGCAAUGCAUUGUGUAGUUCAUCAGACAUGGUCAGAAACAAUACCCAGGUAGGCUGUGGUGUUUAAACAAUGGCAACUGAGGUAAUCUGAGGGAAUCCGGUCCAGUCUUUCAGGUCGUAUAGGAGUGUUGGUUUGGUACUCCACUAGAUGGCCUUUAUAGAAACUGUGUUUUUCAACCGUAUCUCAUUGAACUGAGAAUAACCCUUACAAAGUUACUUCUAGAUUUAAAAUACGCACUACCUUAUAACCUUUUAUCGCAUAUUGUCUCUCGUAGUUUCAGCACAUAUCACCCUCAACUGUCAUUUUAAUUGUUAGGUGUGAAUUCUUUAUAAUAACCCUCUAGCAGUAAUUCUUACAAACAACAGACUGCUAUUGCAUUAACUGCACUGUGGACAACUGUGGUGGUGAGUGAGAGAGUGACCAGCAAUGACAUGCUAGACAACUCUGAUUAUGCACACUUUGUCAUGAUAUGUUCUGUUGAUUUAGUUUUCCCUGGUUUUGUUAUUUGAGUGUAUUUUCUGUGUCUUUCUAAGUGUUUCUGUUCCCUAUCGUUCCUGUUCACCUGUAGUCCGGUCUUGUGAGUUUUCAGUUUGUGUUUGACCCUGUUUCCCUCAUGUUCCCUGUGUUUUAUUCUCUAUAUUAGUUUCAGUGUUUCCUGUUUUAUUUUGUAGUAGUUUAUUUCCUGUGUGUCUUGUCGGAGUUUACUUCCCUAGUCUUCCCUCCUUCGUUAAUCACCCAUGAGUUUCACCUGCUGCUCGUUUACCUCACCUGUGUCUCGUCUGCCACACCUGUUGCUCGUUUCCCAGUGCGUAUAUAGUCUCUGUCUUCCUCUCUGUUCUUGUUGGUUCAUUGUAUGUCUGUGUGCUUAUGCCUGUGUCCCCAGUUGCUCCCUGUGAUUUUGCCCCAAAGAUUUUUUGUGGAUUUUGCCUUUCGAAUUUUUCUUUUUGUAGCUUUUUUUUUCUCUCGUUCUUUUUAAAUAAAUCAUUCUUUUUUUCGGCAUUUUGGGUCCUUUCCCUUUUUGUUCAACUCUGGACCGUGACACACUUAUCAUAGAAGCUAUGGUCCAGUAUGGCAUACAAAAUAUUAUUACGUGAAAACACUGAAAUCAACACCAGUGUAAGUUCAUGUGCAUUAGUGUGCUUAUGUGCAGUUAUGAUGUGUGCAGACAGAUUAGAAAAGUGUUUUCUUGGAGAUGCUGACACACACACACACACACAGAAAGACUUUUCCUCCUCUUUUUUUUCAGUCAUUACACCCGCCUGAGAUUGCUGUUCUUUUCUGGUGUUAUUUAUGUAGCAGCAGAGGCCGGUGGCCUGCACAGAGUCAAGCCUUAUUAAGGGGUACAGCUUUCUGGUAAACAAUAAAGCCAGAGCUCAGAAGGAGAACGCUGUAUCUUUGAACCAAGCCCGGGGAGAUGGCAAAGUUACAAAGCAUAGGAAACACCUCUGUUCUUCAUGGGUGACUGUUUGUGAUGUGACUGAAUGCCGACUGCAGCAGGGGCUGCAGCUCGGUGGUGAUAGGUGCUCUCUCUUUAGCACAUGAAGCUGAUGUUUGGUACCCCACUUCCUGGAGUGCAGGGACUGGGCUGUGGAGGGGGGUCACAAGAUUGAUGACAAAAGGGAUGAGCUCACAACAUCUCAACUGUAUGAAACACUGGAAGUUGAAACAGGCAUCUGCUGCAAUAACAUAGCGUUGUUGUAGUGUCCUUGUUUGUGUGUACCUGUUGUGAAUCUGAUUUUAUGUUCAGUUGUGAUGAUAAAGUUUGUCUGGAGGACAAUGAGGGAUAAAUCAGAGUGUGAUCUGAAUUUCAAAUGUACACUCCAAAUGUUUUGUUCAGAAAUAUUGUUGUUUUUGUGUAUGUUUGUGUGUUACUGGGAAUUACAUCAGGGCUUCACAUUCGAAAGAUGAUCUUUAAAUACAAAAUGAAGUGUCUAAAUAUUUUGAUAAUGAGAGAAAGAAUAUCUGAGAGAGAGAGAGAGUCAGUCACCAAAGAUCUUAUAAACCACAGUGUAACCCUGUCAUUAAAAAUAUGACCAGGAUGAUCUGCAGUCUUACAGAGUAUGCCAAGACUGUAAAUUUAGUCUCACUUUUUAAAUAACUUGUCGGUGAAAAUGGAACAUUUCCUCCAGCUUCUUGUGUGAUUGAAUCAUUUACUGCUCAGUUAUUUGGGGAUUUUGAGCACAUUAAUAUUUCAGUGACUGUUUGUUUAGUUCCCAACAGACGGACGAAACACAUUUUAUUUUCAGAUACUUUAACCCCAUGCUGCAUUUUUUAAUUCAAUACAAAUUAAAAUCACCAACUUUAUGAAGUCCCAUUGUUAUGUUAAGAAAAUUGGAUGGAUUCAUUAAUUUUCUGAGUCAAGGAUUCGUUUAUGUAGACAAAGGCCUAAGGGCUAACCUGUUUGAGUUAUUUCUCUGAAAUUGCUCUUGGCAAACUAUUUUGUUAGAAGAACAAAAUUUGUUUCGUGUCUGUCCUGACCUGUCUCGAAGUUCAUUCCUCAACUCAGGUCGGAUAAAAUCAAGUUUAAUAAUGUGUUCAGAAUGUGUAAUCAGCUGAAUUGAGUGAAAUUUUAAAGAAAGGUACAGAUUACGAGGUUAUGUAAGAACACGUAUUGGUGAUUUAGUUGUAGCCAUUGAAUUAAACUAUUUUAGUGCAUUUAAAACCAAAAAGGCUCUGAAUACCUGUCUCUUUUAGUAUGGAUUUUAAGGUUGCUUUAUUGGUUUUUAAAGCUCUUAAUAGCUUUGGCCCCUCUUAUCUAUCUGAUCUGCUUUUACCGUAUGAGCCAGGUAGAGUCCUCAGGUCUUCAGGAAGUUUUCUGAUAACAAUACCGAAAGUUAAAACCAAGACAUGGUGAGGCAUCUUUUUAUUACUAUGGCCCCCGUCAUUGGAACAGCUUAUCUGAAGACUGCACCUAAUCUGAAUGGUUUUAAAAGCAAACUAAAAACAUACUUUUUUAGUCUUGCUUUUAACUAAAUUUUAUAUCAUUAACUUUGUUUAAGUGUUUUAGCAUUUAUCUCUUCUAGUUUUAAUGACAGAGUCAUCAUUUAUUGAGCUAUUUUGGUUCUUUUAUUUUAGUAUCUUUUACUGUUGUUUUUAUUUCAUUUUAUUUAUUAAUUCUUAAAUUUUAUUCUUUGUUUCUUUGUUUUUAGAUUUUAACCUAAAUCUCCAGUGUUUCCUUAUCUUGAGUUUUAAAAUGACGUUUCCUCAGUGCGCAUACUCCUGUUUCCAUGGAAUCAAGUCCGUUUAAAGUUUAUGCAUUUUAAUACUGUUUCUGUUGCAAUUAGAUCGUGGGGUGGGCUGGGGUAGAUUUGGGUAUUCUUUGUUUCUUUUUCUUUUUUUCCUUUUUCUGUGUAAAGCACUUUGUGCUACAUGGUUGUAUAUGAAAAGUGCUAUUUAAAUAAAGACUGAUUGAUUAAUUGAUUGUACUUAAACCUAUUGAGACAAAAGUGUUCCUUUUAGGGCAUUUUCAUAUACAGUGUCUAGCUGUAUGUGUUUUUAUGUCUUAACUGGAAAGUAUAUUAAACCCAUUUAAACCUGAAAUAAAAAUACACUGAAAUUAAAAAGAAUAAAUACUACUUACUUAAAAUAAAUACAUCAUACUGACAUUGCUUUAAAGCUCUAAGAUAAUUUUGGCAAUGAACUGUUUGUGAUUUCUACCUCUGUGUAUUACCAAAGCCAUUACUAUUGUGAUAAUCACUCUAAUCAUGUGAUCACGUUCAAAUCACCAAACCUCACUCUGCAUGAAGUCUUGGUUCAAGCACAGUCCCAAAGCCAGAGUUCACAAGCAUUGUGGGUUUUGGGGCAAAGCAAGCUAAACGUAGCUUCUCACUUUCAUGGGCGGGCUCGGAACAGAUGUCUGUUGUACUGCUCCUGCUUGUGUCUUGGCAGGAACUGGCGCUGUUCAAGAUGGUAUUUGAAAACUCAUGCAAGUGAAAACUCAUGGCAACCCUUGCUCGAAAGGGAAUAAAUUAUAAGGGCCUAACAAGACAACAAAACAGCUGGACUGGAGUCCCAGAGUCAAGUACUGAAACACUGAUGUGUGAGUAAAAACAAGACCAGUUAGGUUGAGUUUUAACAGCCUUUUUGGAUCCUAUUUAUUAUCUCUGACUUUAAAAAACACACUAGAUCUUCCCUAACAAACAAAAAUAUUUUAAUAUCAUGGAGCAGUCAGUUUGUGUAUGAAUAAACACUUCUAUCCUAGGUGUGUUGCACUGACUGAAUGUAUUUACUGCAGUCAGUAGUAUGUGCAGGAGAACUUUUGCUUCUCUCUGAAGACACACUGCUUCUGGCUACUGGCUGACAUGGGUUUAUAUAAUGCAAUUGUGUUUGCUGAAAGCAUACACAAUGAGUUGUGCUGCAUGUGAACGUGGGCAUGCACAAAGACUUAGCAUGACAAAGUGAUACAGUGUGUAGGCGUAUUGGCACAUGAAUAUUUAUCUCCAUCCAUCUACUGUAUGCUGUAAUCAUUUGUCUGGCCUGUCUGUGAAUGUGUGUAUCAUACCUUACAUUUGUCUUUUGUCAGACUUGGAGACAAUGCUGGGGCAAAAUACUGAACAAUUCAUGGAAUUAUAGGCAGGUGUAGUCUUGUCAGUGUGUUUUGACAAAGGCUGCUGCAUGUGAGACGUACAUUUGGUUAAUCAUGUAAUCUGAAACAUAUGCAUGCGGCAGGUGGACUCAAAACAAAGAAAAUGUCAUUUAUCUUUUUUUUUUUUUUCUUACCAUAAAGCUAUUUAUUUGAAUAAAUUAAAUUGGAUUGGCAGGUAAAGACCAGCAUGGACAACAAUACUGAUUUACUACAUUUCUAUUAGCAUUAAUUGUUCUUAAUUUCUAAUUUUUCAUACAUUACAACCUCUGUAAAGAAUCCUCAAUCAGAAAAGACACAUUUUAGACUCCUGAGCACUGAGUUGCACCAUCAGACAGGACUUCUCAUUUCUUCAUUGUUAGACACAUACCAUCAAUACCGAAGAUUGGAGAAGCAGUUGAAAAAAACUGAGCUGUUGAGGCAGAUUUGAAAAAAGCAUCCCGACAUCCACACACAAACCACACACAAAGGUUUGUGCUAACUCCCCCCGAACCUGUCGCCCUCCCCACGGCACAACCCCUCUGGCAGAGUAAGAAGCCGGUCGGCAGAAGAUCCUACGCUAGCUUCAAAUAGGAUUCGCCAUGUCGGAUUGCUAGUGACUAGCGGCAGUAAACGCCAGCUCUGCUAGCGAGCACCAUCUGCAGCUGCCUGGACAACUACCGUGUUGACAUUGCAGAGACUAAUAAGAGUUCUUUAUGUAACAUGUGCCAUGAUAAAAGGCAAAAUUACCUGUUUUGGCGGUGAGGCAAGCAGAAGUGUUUUUUUUUUUUGUGUGUCCGUCUCCAUCACAGCUCCUGUAGCUAAGCUGCUAUGCUACUUUUAGCCACUCAGAGCUCCGAGGAGGGCCAGGAGAGUGGGAGGAGACGAGUUGAAACUACGGGAGAGGGGUGUGUGAAAUACAGCGAGGUGAUUGGAUAGAGAAGCGCUGCAAAAACACUGACCAAUAGGAGCUGUCUGGGAUGAAUGGCUCCCAUUGGUCGAUGCAGCUGCUAAGGCAAAUGUUUUUUUAUCCAUUAUUUCUCUAUAGAUUGCACUAUAGGACCAAGAUUGCCAAAUACACAAGGUUCAUAAUAGUUACCAAUUUCUCCAAUUGUCAACCAUGCCUUUAAGUUUAUGUCGUUAUUUUUAUUCCAGUGUUUUUGACAGGGUCAAAAAUAAUAUUUCAAAGCAGUAGAAGAGUUACACAGGAUGGCUGAAUAUCUUGAACAUUUUUAAAGCUCCUGUGGGUAUUUUUUUGACUGUGUCGAUCUGUGAACACAGUGGUAACCCCUUUAGUGAUGCUGAUUUUACUGAAGUGGUGUUAAUUGAUGGACAAAUCCCCUCCUAUUGUCUUUUAAUUUGUUAUCCCUCACUGUGACUAUUUCCUGUUCCUACAGUGUACCCACCCCCUCACAGUAAGUACAGGCAUAAAAAAUUGUACCCCAGUCAUUAUCAGUCUUGUCUUCAAUGGUCCCAUAUGAUUUUUUACAUCUCAAAGAUGCAUCACUGUUCAUUUUAGUCUGUUUCAUGACCCACCAAAAACUCCUCACAGGAGCUUUAAAUGUAUUAUUCAUGAAAGAGGUAAUGUGUAAUAAGAAGAUGGAUUUUUAAACUAGGAUGAGCAGGGGACUUGACUUACCCUAUCAAAAUAAAAAUGGUCUUAUGUGCCAGGAUCCUUUGUUAAAGAAGUUAAUUCAAUUGGGCUUACGUUUUUUUGAUGGUCUGUGCAAAUUUAACAUUACAUAAUACUGUGUCUGGUGCCAUUUCCAUGGUAACUGCAUUAAAUUUUGCUUUAGUAUCUGCCUUUCCAAGUUUCAAACAUGAGAGUGUCGUCUGGUUGGCCAUCUAGUGGAUAAAAUGUUACCUCCAUUCAUUACAACUUUCAGAGCCAAUGCACCAAGGUAUUCAGGAUGAGGUUUUUUUUUAUGCUUCGGCCCCCACCCCUUAAACUACCUGCACACUACUGGUAUGCAGUAACAAUCUAGAUAAGGAAUCGUCUAUUUCCAGUUUGUACAUACUUUUAAUCUUUGGUAACAUGUCGUGUUUAAUGUUCAUACAUAAAGGGCAAAGUUUACUGGAGUCAAAUUCCUUGCAUGUUUACAGCUACUUGGCCAAAAGUAUGUCUUAUUUAUUUCUGCACAGAUCUGUUGGAAAUAAAAGAAUAAUAUCAGGACCCUCUCCUCUGGAAUCAUCUACCAGUAGAGGUGUGGGGGGCAGACACUCUCUCUGUCUUUAAGAGUAGGCUCAAAGCUUUUCUUUUUGAUAAGGUGUAUAGUUGGUUCAGAUUUGGGAGGUCUUUAGUUGUGCUGCUAUAGGUUUAGACUUCUGGGUGAACUGGCACAUUGAGCACCUUUCUCUCCUUCUCAAUCCUCUUUCUGUCUGUUCCUCUGGAUCGCUGCUGCAGAUGUUUUGCAGUCAUGAACUUGUCUGCUUUCCAGCUGCUUCAACUACAUGAAUCAUUCCCACCUCUGUCCAUCUCUUUCUUUCUGCAUCUCCCUCUAUCCCCUCUCGAAACCCAAGCAGCAGAUGACUCUCUAACAUAAGCCUGGUUCUGCUCAAGGUUUCUACCUGCUAUUGGAAAUGUAUCCUUUCCACUGCAACUUGCUAAAUUCUGCCAAGGCUGCACUCAUGUGGUUGAAGAUGGGAUGGGAGUGGGUCAGAUCUUACAAGACGGGACUCAAUCUUAUCCCAUCAGGGGCAGCUGUUGCUCAGUGGUAGACUUGGCUGUCUCUCAAUCUGAAGGUUGGGGGUUUGACUCAAGGGCUGUCCACAUGCUGAAGUGUCCAUGGGCAAGACACUUGACCUCCACCGGCUGCACCUCGUGGUCCCAUUUAAAUUGAUAAAACAAAAAUGGGUCUAAUGUUCAAAUGUAUUACUUCAGUUGACAUAAAUUGUAGAUCUAGAUCUGUUGAAUUGAUGUUGCCCUCAAAGUGACUCACUCUUAUGUACUAUUUAACUAUAAAGUAUGCUAAAAUCUUGGCAUUUUGCUUCAAAGGAGUAAUAUCUUUAGAAUAAAAUCAAAGGUUGCUAAAUGAAUGUGUUUCAUGAGCCCUCUGUUUAACUUAAGUCUUCACUGAGCUGCUGUCGAACAGAUGAAUGGAUUGUACAUUCUGCUUUUCUCCUGAGGAGAAAACUUGGUCUGAAGUCUGCCAACGUGACUAAACACACACGGCCUAUACCUCUCUGGAGUCCUCUAAUAGAUGAUAGGAAUAGAUAGUCAUUAUAUAUAAUAUCGCCUCAACUCCCACAUUACAUCUUAAUAAUGCCGCCCUCCUAUUACAAACAUAAUACCAAGGUCCUGAUAUGAAAGCGUCGUCUCAAAAUAGUCGUGUGCUCAGUGUAUCACCUUCCAUGGAAUUAGGCUGCAGGCAAAUGGCUUAACAAGAUUAGUUGGCCAACCAAUUUAACAAAGGCACAGUAAUUGUUUAAUGAAGAUAUUGAAUAUUCAGGGCAUAUUGUGUUCCAUAAGCUAUGACUUAAUAACUGUCUGCAGUCCAAAUGAGAGUCAUCAUUUACAAUACUAACUGCUGCUCCAGGAGAAAAGGGGGCUGCUGCUGAUAGUAACAAUUAAGGUUUAUGCAUUUAUUUGUUUAAUUUCUUUUUAAUUCCUUUUUUUUUUUAACUUCCUUUUUUUCAAUGUGGCAUACCAUUGUUUACAGAGAUACAAAGGUCUAUUCAGUCCAGUCUAAGCGAUGAGACUGGGACCAAAGAAACACAGAUUCAAAAAGACAGCAGCAAUAGAACGGGCUAAAAAUGAGGUUGUAACACUGUAAAGAAACAAAAUGACCAACAACCAGCUUAUGACUGUCAGAAAAUACACACACAAAAUAUAAAAUGUUAUCAAGCAAGCAUGCAAAACUUUUUUACUUGAACUUUAAUGGUACUUUGCAUUUAAAUGUCCUUUAUUGAUAAAAGUUCACCGGCUUAUAACAUCUCAAGAUCAGGGGGAAGUCCUUACCUGUUUAUUGUAGAAUCAAUUCACGAUAGGUGUGACACAAAUUUCCCAGUUUAUAUCCAUCAUUCUUCCUGGAGCAAGCUAGUGCUAUACAGCUUAUUCAAAAGGAAGAAAAAAGAGAAGUAAAACACUGUCAUGCACAGUCUGGCACAGCUUAGAUGUGUGGAGAUUGACCCCCAGAUAGCACCGUACCAUUUUAAGCCCUUAUUAUUAUAAAAACAGAUAUUUUCUAGGUAAUCCACAGAGAGCUGCUGUCUUGACCACUGAAGAAAUCACUGAAAUACUCAAGCAUAAAUACCACCAGCUUUUAGCAAACAGUGUAAAUCUCACUCUUAACUAUGCAUGGCUGUUUAACCUGGUAUUUAUGAAUUAGGUGUAACUUGCAAUGGGGCUCAUAUGCAGAAAAAUGGGCAUAUUCAUCCUCACUGCAAACAGCACCAACACAGAGACGCACAGAGGAGGUUUUCCUUUGCAGUCCAGUUUGAAUGUGCUUUAUAACUUACACUGUGUCCCUUUUUUAGCUGUUUGCACAGGUUGACCAGGCGGAAAAACUGUGCAACCCUUUAGCCAGUCAGACCUUAAAAGUGGCCGACUGUGACAGAGAGGCAAGAUUGGUUAACAGUGAAAGGUGAUGUUGCCACGGCUAGCACCAAUGGAGAUAGUAAGUGCUGUUAGCUCAUCACAAUUACAAUUUUUUGAGUUAAAAUUGAAUUGUCCAGCAGCUGUACUACUGCAUCAGUUACUUAACACCUAUUACUACCGGUGUUAUAGUUAAAGCUAGCUUUUGUUUUGGUUCCUGAAUUGAUUUAAUUUCCAAUGCAAACAUCCCUGGUAUUUGUUGCUUUCUAAGCCUGUUUUUUUGUUUGUUUGUUUUGCAUCACUGCGCAAUUGCAAUGUUAACGUAUGUCCAACAAACCAGGUCAAAGAAGGAGAGAGCUGCCCUCAUCUCAGAAUAAUGUCUCCAAAUAAUCUAGAAAGCAUCGUACUGGCCACUUCACACUGGAUUCAUAAUGGCUGCAGGAUAGCUGCAUAGAGGAUCACUCCAUUUUAGAAGAUCAGACCCUUCACAUUGCUGGCGUGAGCCAUGCGUCUCAUGUUUGUAUCAGUGUUAAUUUCAUUAACAGAAAUUACAGCAAGAAAUGUUUGUCAGUGACCUGUUUUUCUAUGUAAGACAAGAGGAUGUUAAGCUAAAAUAAUAAUAUACUUUAUUCCUGACAAAAACUCUGAUGAAUAUACUGCAAAUAAGAUAUUUUUCCUGAAAGCUUUACCCCUAAAACUUCUCCAUAUGUAUGACAAAUAACCUGUUAAGUAGAGUAGCUAUAUACUUUUGCAGCAGAUAACAAGCUUCUUCACUCUGUCUUAAAAAAGAAAAGAAAAAUUCUGAUGACUUUUAUUAAAAGUAGGCGUCUUUGGAGACAACUUAUAAGCUAUGCUGAGUUUUUUCUCAUUCAAGAAAAUUUAACUCAGAGACUUUUUGACUUGGAGCCUUAUUUAUUAUUUCAAUGUUGUUAAGUAUUCAUGCAGGAACAAAGCAGACUGUGUGAAACAACCUGGAUGAAACCAACAGAGGUAAAUAAUGUCUGUAUAAAACACAUAAAAGCAGUGUUUUCAGCUUUCUCUCAGUGCAUCCAGAGACGACCUUGACUUUGAAAACACAAGGCAAUGGGAGUGAAACCUAGAAAAACGUAUCCCACUACAACACUUACCACUUCGUGUUUUUUUUUGGCAACAUGAUGAAACUUCCUCGAAAUCUCCUGCAAUGUUGCAAUGUCACUCUUCUUAUCAGUGUGUAGAGGGCACUGGAGUGUGUUGUAUGUGCAUGUGUUUUCCUGCUCUCAAAUGAAAUGUACAAACUCCCUGCUGGGAUUCUCCAUAUUUUGCAGGGUCAAAUGUUGCAUUCAUGAUACAUUAAUUAUCUAGCGUGGAUAAUGAAGGGUUGUUUUCUAUAUUAUUAUUACAAUAUUCUGCUAGAGUGCAAACUGUAAUAAAUUGUGUUUUCAACUUUGGAUGCCUAAAGAGGGGUAUAAUCCUAUUUUUUUAAUGAGUAGUCAUUUAAAACACAAAUAGAGAGUAUGCACUUUUCUGUCAGGCAAAAUCCUCUACAACGUGACCCACCUUCAGUAUAAAGAAACAGCAAAACUAGGAGUUACAGAUUAAUAUUUGCUCAAAGUGUUGGAUUGGAGAGAUUCCUUCAUUUUUCCAUAUUUGUGUACAGAAAUGAGUUUUUUUGACGUUUUCAUGGACCUGAUUUACAGUCAAGAACAACAUGAUGCAAAGGGCCAUUUCAAAAAAUGUAUAUACUUAUUUUACCUUGAUGGACUGAUGAACUGUCUUGGCUUUCUUUUUUUUUCAAUCUGAAAACUCCUCACAGUAAAACUCUUAAUAAUCAGGUCUGAUACUUUCAAGACAUGAAACAUACAUGGACAUAACUGUCGUAUUUGUUAAAUUAUCGAUCAAAAAAACAAUAUCUACUAUUAUUUUUUGAGCAUGUUAUUGCAAAACCAGACCUAAAAGGACUUUGCAGGGUAUCGGGAUCAUGCUUAGAAAUGUAAUCCAGUGUUCUUCUGUGGUUUUUUAUUAUUUUUUUUUUUACAGUAUUUUACAUGAUACAUACAUAUAAUCUUCUCCUAUAUUUAAAGUAUUAAUUUUACCAAGACCAGACAGAUAAAGACUGUUUAGGGUUAAUUAAAGUAUAUUUGUCUUAAUGCAGUGGCUCCAUAAUGUGACACAUCCACCAUGUGCUACUGUAAGUGUACUGCUCUAUUUUGGCUUCACUGACGUAAAAUAGUAUUCUCAAUUCUAUUUAAAUUAAUAGUACUUUUUCCAAGAGUCUCAACUGAUCACAAAGGAUAGUUUUAUACAACUGUUAUUUAACGAAGUGAAAACUCUUAACGUCACGAGAAACGGACCAACAGCUUCGAGACACAUAAAGACAACAAAAUAGUCUGAUUUGAGCAUAAGAAACUUUAAGUUCUUUAUUGAAUUUUUUUAUUUAUUUAUUUUUGCAGCAUUCAAACUUAACAUUCAUGCAGCUACAAAGAGCUUUCAGUGCCAUGCGCUAGCUGUGAAUGCGACUGCAGUGACCUCAACCUGCUAUGACAGUAGAUGUCAGACACUCUCAUUUUCACUUCUGUGGUUGUACUGUUGCAAAAAAAAAAAAACAGUAAAGGUCAGGAAUGAAAUCACAUUUUAUUGGUGAAUGUGAAAAUGAGACAUCAAGAUAGGAACGCUGCUCCUUACCCUUCUAUGUUGACAGCAUCUUUAAGAAAAUAACUAGUAUACUAAAGUAGUUUUCUGCGUCAACAUCAAACAUGCAGUAUAUUUAUAACAAAUGUAGUAUCAUCCAGCCUUAUGCAGUAGGAGUAAAAGCUCGGUGUUAACAGGAAGGUCUACAAGCAGCAGCUGUCUUCACAAAUUUCUCACGCUUAAGGCUUGUUUUACCCAUGGGUGCUGGUCUACUCCAACUCCUCACACCUGCACAACAUCACACUUGACAGAGAAAAAAAAAAAAGAGAGGAAUUAUGAGAAACUCAGGUGCCAAAACACAACAAUCUGCCUCAUAUUCACACAUAUGCUGAAGAGCUGCAAGGACAAAUAACACAUUUAAAAACGCGUUUGUUGUACCUUAAAGAAACGCUUUUACAAACAUAUGACACAAUGUAUAGUUUAAUUAUAGUAUUUAUUUUAUUAAUUUAUAUCCACGAUUUAUUUCCCAGUCCAGUAAAUAGUGAGUAACCUUGACCAUUAUUAAGCACCUGUUAAACUUGUAUUGGGCUCUUCAAAGGUAUGAGAACCAGUGUUUCCAGUGAGCGAUCAGUCUGCAGUUUCAGCUGAUACUCAAAGAAUUACUUACAUAGACACUGUUUUAGUUCUGAGUAUGAUAUUCUAAUAGACAUGAUGCAUUAUUACUGUUCCUUUGUCAUUAUUAUCCCUUGUAUUUUGGAUUUAUUGGACAAUAUGUCUGCAUUUGGGUCUAGUUCUCCUCCUCUCUUUCAUGUUGUGACACAUUAUGUGCCACUUGGUGAUAGAGUGGUGAAUGAAACCAUCCAUCUUAGAAACUGCAAACAAUUAAGCUGGACCUUUUUUUGGAGGGAAAUGACGAAAGAUUCCUCAUACUUUGAGCUCAAUUGCAUGCCAUAACCAAACUUUUAACAGAUAUCAGCAACCAACUGCAUCACAAAAGCUGGCAGAACACUUUUCUUUGAAUGGAUCACCAAGGGCCUCUGGAUACAGUGCCAAUUAAAUGGGUGGCAACUAAUAGCAGACGAAUCAACAUUGAGGAAGACUAUAGUUUAAGGAACGCCCAUGGUUGGCAUGUUGUGACCAGUCAUUUACCUCGCUAUCACAGGGAAUGAUAGUGUCAUAUGUACAGGACUUGGAUAAAAUCAAAAUAGCAACCAAAGUGGAACCUCCUAAAAAGUGCAAAUUGGACAAUAAUGAGUAAUCAAAAGCAAACUUGGAAUUACUACAUUGAUUGGGUAUUUUGGACAUGCACUCCUACAUAUUUAUUGAUUUCUUUGAUAGAAUUUAUAACAACAAUCUGUUAUAAAUACAUGAAUGGAUGCAGUGGGUUGUGUAAGUGUAAUGAGCUUUACAAUGACUCACUUAUUUGUUAAACAGGAGGAAAUAUCUCCAUUGGUAUUGACCAUAUUGUAUCCUGAGCUCCUUUAAAUAUGGUGUCCCUCAGGGGUGACUUUUUUGGGUCAUUUUAAUGUCUUAGUUCAAGCUCCUCAUUGGCCGUAUUAUCCAUAGAAUCAUAGAAUAUCCAUAGAGUAGAUUCAGACCCUACCCUUUGUAAUAUUACUUACAGAGCCCCAACAUAAAGAUCAACUUAAGAUAAGAUCCAGUCUUGUCGUAUUUUAAGAUUAAGCCUUAUCCUAUCUUAGAGCAUUUCCCAGCAUUAACUGAAUUCAUAUGGCAAGGAGGGACUUCCUUUUGAAAGACAGAAACCUUGAGCAGAACCAGACUCAUGUUAAACAGCCAUCUGCUGCAACUGCAUAGGGCUUGGAGCUGGGAUAAGGGAAGAUGUAGAUAGGAAAGAAGUGGUGUUUCCUUUUAAUGCUGUCUACCCACACUGAGCUCCCUCCAUGGAUGCCUUUUGAUCACAAAAAUUGGAUUUUACAAAAUGUUCCCAGUGGUGCUCAAACUAGCACAGCUUGUUGCAAGUAGCUCCAAGCAAAAAAAGAAGAAAUCCUCCCCUCUGCUGGUUCACACUUCCAAGGAAAAGUGUUUUUUUUUCUCUUUGGUUGCAGCUCUUACAAGAGAAAGUCCAACAUUAAAGUUGAGGAAUAUUUUCUUGUUUUAACAUCCAAGAAAUGCCUCCAACAUGAUAUUUUUCAUUCCAUGUAAUUAAUCAAAUUAUUUCCUUUAUAACUUCCUCCCUCAACAUGAAAGUUGAAGGAAGAAGAUUGUUAUAUAUAAUUUUGGAGCUGUUUUGUUCUUUUUGUUGGUUGUAAAUGUUCUUGAUUGCCAGCAAAGCUCUCAGUUAUUCAUCUCCAUCUGAAAACUGACUCUACAAUCGUGGCCUGGACCGCAGUCUCAUUCCAAUAUCUGCUUGUUCAACUAUGCUUGGUGGACCUUAACCUGCUCCCCCAACAAUGCAGGAAUACAGAAUUACACCAACCAAAGCAGAAAUAAAAACAUUUCUGAGGUAACUUAAGCAAAAUGUCUCAAGGCAACUUUUAAUGAGAGUGCAAACCCCAGUGAGAAGGAUGUAUUUUUCAUGGCGGUUGGCAGGGCUGUUGGUUUGGCUGCUAUAUUCCCAACCCUCCAAAUGCAAGUGUUCUCCUUAAUUGCAGGUCAGUGUGAAUCUGAUGCGUCAGCUGCCAUAAGCCUUAAUUAAUUCUGCACUGAAAAUAAGACUGCAACACCCACCCAUCUGUUUGUCUUUAACCUGCAACUGAGAGAAGGAAAGGAAGUGCAGGAAAUACAGAAAAAAGAUGAGGAGUAGAAGACAGUUUGGUUCAGUCAGGAGGCCCUCGCGCCAUGAACAGCCAUAACACUUCAACUUAUCAUAUUACAGCCACAAUGACUGGCAAUCUUUGAGGUGGAGGCGAAUAGAGGUACAAUAAUGACUCUGAGUGCUAAAUAAAAUACGGAUGGCUCAAAUUAAUACCUUUUCUUUUGGCAAUGAACACCAGAGCACAGGGUAAAACCAAAAAUAACUUAAGUGAUUUGAUUCCCUCUGUUACCUCAAGACUCAGCCAUCAACUUCGUCCUGCUUUUUUCUUUUUUUCGUUUUGGUUUUGCUUGGCUUGUCUUUUGAAGCAGCGUUCAAACACACCAAAACUCUUAGCAAGUGUUUUUGUCUCAUUUCUGUUAAAAGUAUUUUAUUAGGCUUAAUAUAAGCCACAAGCACCUGACAAGUCCAGAAAAAAAAUGUCCUAUUUCAAAAAAUCACACACCACAAUUAAGACCUGAAUUGUUUGUUUUGAGAAAAAAAUACAUCUGCUGAUGGAACAAGAAAAAAUUACUUGUCAAGUUUCCUGAAAGAAGAUAUUUUCUAAAAACAUAACUCUAAUAUUAAGACACUUGACAGGUACAUUUUUCUUUUUCCACUGGCGAAUUCUUCUACCCUUCACAAGCAAUUCAUGACUCAUAUCUGGCAUGUAAUGUCAAAUAUGAGAGUAUGAAAUUUUUUGAUAGUGGUAAGGUGAAUGUGGCUUCAAUUAAGCCCAAUAGGAUUUUUUUCUAGAUAGGUUUAAAGUUUAAAUCUCUGCUUUUGAUUAGGAGAAAUUACCUAAGUGUUUACAUCAGCUAGUUUUGUGCGUACAAAAAUAAGAUUAGCAACACUAAUGACACUGAUGACAGUCAAUUGGUGCGGUUCACAACUAUGUCUUUUUUAAAUUUAUUUUAUAUAUGAUCUAACCAGCUCUUAAUCAAUAACAUAUCACCAUUAUUCAUUCAUUCUCCACCCAGUAGUUCAGCAAACUGAAGCAUUACACCAAUUACAUGAUAACCUGUCCAUCAUUGUCAAUUACCUGUUUAUUGUGCCCCCUUAUAGCGGGGCGUCACUCUACAUAGUCGAUCUGUGCUAAAUCAGUGCUUUCACAAUUACACAUUUCUACCUACUUUUUCUCCACCCAGUCGAUAGAAGAAAGCUCUCAAAACUAAUAACAAAAACAAUGGUGAGUAAUGGCUAAAAAACACAAGUAGAUCAUUCCACAUGUGAGAAGCUCUAAAAGCAAAUGCUUGUUCCACUUUAAUGUGUAACUGUGAAGUGGAAAAAAUUGACAAGUUCCAGCCUGUGGAUUUCACAUGCACAGGUAUGUAAAAGGUUAGUAGUUAUAUGAAAUGGAACCAGGCUAUGAAGAACUUAUUUUUACCAUUACUCAAAUUAGAGGCAUAUGUUUACUUUUCUGUGAUUUUGUUAAAUGGUACCUGGACCAGAGAAGUUGCUAGCAAUUCUGGGUCCACUUGUUUGAUUUCUUCUUUGCAUAGAAUAGCUCUGACUGGUCAUGUUGUUCCAAUCAAUGCAUUUAGGAAGUGAUUUAGAGCCAGUGCAGUGACUUCCACUACAGCGUCAUGCCUGUUUUCAAAAGAAAUGACACCCCUAGAGCCCAAUGACCACAGUCAUCAAGUAUUGGCUUUCGAGGUUGUCUUUUUUGCUCAGAGAUUUUUCCAGAUUCAAGGAAUUCUGACUCCACAUAUAUCUUUUUUUUUUGUUGGCUUGCUAAUAUUUCCUUGGAAAGCAGUUGCUUUUACAACAAGCUGUAGAUCAGAGAAAAAAGGCACACUGUUCCCUGGCACGCAAACAGUGACCUCAAACACCACAGGAGCCUGUGAUUUUAAGCUUCCAGAGGAUCGCAUCCAAAGAAAAAAAACUGACAGAAGCUAGGACAAAGGAAAAAAACCCAACAGGGCAACAGGACUCCAUGCUUGGACUGUGGUUAAACAGCUGGUGGAGACACAGGAAAUAUGACUAGUUUAAAAAGCCAAAAGAAAAGAGGAAUUACUUCCAAACACUCACAUGAAUUUGCAUAUUCAUAAGGGACAAAGAAGGCGGUACAGUAGUUGAUAGAUUGUAAGAAAGGUUGAAGGAAGCCAUGGCUAAGAGAGCAAGACAUAUUCUUUGUGGGAUAAAGGUGUAAACUAAAAAUUCACAUUCUUUAUCCUUUUCUUACUACUGUACACCUAAGUUUCAGUGAGUUAGAUAGAUGACACUAGCUUGAGGUGUAAAGCACCUUCUGGCAAGCAGCUAGCUUAGUUUAGACAUACAGCUAACAGCAAACGUCUCUCAGAGGUUUCAUCUGUAAGAUAUGAUGACAGCUGUGAGAACAGUGCAACAUAAACUGUGAGGUGAGGGGUGACGGUUGAUCACUAAGUGGGUGAGAUUCAGUAGCAGCAAUACACCAGCGCUCAUCCUCCACUCCAUCCCCCUAAACUGGGAAACAGCCUUCCUCUGCCCACUCAAGGGACAAGCCUUUGAGAGCUCAUAAGCUUUUUACAAUUUCCUUUGUCAGUCUUUAGUGGUCUUUAGCUAGUGUGUGUGUGUGUGUGAGUAAGUGUGUAUAUAGGCCAUGAAAUGUGACCCAAAGAUGGUGCGUAUGUAGUCAACAAGAAAUUGCUUCCUUGGUGCAAUCAACUGGCCCCAUCUUCAAACUUCAGCCCACCCCGACUUUACAUUUUGAUGAUUUUAAAAUCACUUUUUAUCCAUUUAAAGACAACUUUGAAUUUAAUCAAGAAAUGUAAAGGAAGACAGGCUGAGCAUGCUGCCAUAUCCAGUCCUUAAUAAUAUGUUAAUUCUCAUGUAACAGGCCGUUUCAUCCAGUUUGCAAGAUCACAGACUAGCUUGUUCUGUAGAUAUCAUUGACCAAUAACGCAAGGGUGUUACAAACGUCCUCAACAACAUAGUGUACCAGCACGGUAACAGUAUGUUGAGCGAAUGAUCUGUCUGAGCCACAGAAUAAACCAAUAAAAGUAUGUGACGGUAUGUAUCAUGCUGCCUGAGUCACAAAUACACCAAUCCUCAACAACCUUAGCAUUCAGAAGAGCACACACCUCAGCUACCAACACUAUUAGCAUGCUAGUCGAUCCACCAAACAAACCAGCCCAGAACCGUCCCAGUAAACAGCACACUACACACUUCUGUCUGGAACAUCUCCGGCCAACAUUAUAAAUUUAUGAAUUACCUCUUAGCCUCAAUCACUCAGCUUUCAUCUGACCCACAGCCAUUCACUCUAGCCAUGAGCAUUUGACUCCUCUCCACAUGUCCAAAUCUCUGAUAGGCCUUUUAUCAGUUCGGGUAAAUCUGUUCUUUUAAAAGUUAAGUCACUGGGGGAAUGAUAAACUGGUGAAGAGGGGUGAGUUACUUCCCGUUAAAGUCAGUUUCAAACUGCCAACACAGAUGCCUUAAAGUGUCAUUUAAAAACGUUUAUGGACGUAAUUUGAUUUCACCACAUCAGUCAAUGAGGUUAAAUGUUUCUGACUUGUGACCAGAAAAUAAACAAGUUCAUUUUAAGAGUGCCUCCACAGUUCACCUGUUUGGUUUGGUUAAAAGGAACCUGCGUUUGUUUGCUGAGUGUGUAUGGUUCAUUCGUGAUGGUGUGGCAGUUGUCAAUUGUACCCUAGUGUAGCCCAAACAACUGCACCAAGACAGACUGAAAACAUGGGUCUUGGUUUGCCCUUUUUUGUUGUGGUCUACAUCUUGCAUUUUUGUAAAGCAAGUGUUUUUGUUUUCUCUCACUCGCUGGUGUCUAUAUCAGAAAUUUUGCAAAGGUAUUGAACAUCUGCAAGACCAAUUAGGGAGGAUUUUCGACACAUUUGACCAGAGUUGAGGUUGUUUGGAACAAUUUUACAAAUUGCUCCACGAUUCAGACCAGUGAAAAACAAACUAAACCAAGCUAACAACAAAACUAUUUUAUAUGUUGGUUUAUCUACACUGAUAUUGCGUUUCUACCUCGUCUCCUCUGCUGUUAACCAUACAGCCAGUAGACAGGAACCAUUUACAGCUAGAAUUAUUUGAAACCAAAGAUUACAUGUGACUUAAACAUCACCUGUUGAGUGAUAUAAAGGUCAUAUUAGCUCUUCUUUGACUCUAUUUGGUGUCCCUGAGCUUCCACUUGAAAAAUCCCACAUCAUGCCCAAGCCUUACUUGGAUUGUAAAUGGUCUUCUCCAAUUUGGCUUUAUAUCUAAUAUAAGUGUUGGGCCCAUGAAGUUGCUUUUCUAGUGCUAUUCCUUCAGGCAAAGAGCUGCAGAGUCCCACAAGUACUGACCUGGCCAGCAGAUGACGGUCAACAUGCUUUUAUCUCAGGAUUGGUCUAGAAGGAUGUCCUUGCCCCCCUCACCCAGGUAGAAAAGCUUCCCUCUGAGGUGCUUCCAUAGUGGUCCAGGAACCAGUUUGAAAGUGGCCCCCUGAAGACUAAUUGCCUUUGGCAACACAGCACAAAGGUUUGAAAGGGCUCCAACUCACAUUUCCAUUCAAUACCGCAAGUUAGGGAUACUUGUGAGGAAUCUAAAAUAGUCAGUGGAGGUACUCUUGGAUUAUUACUGUCUAUGUCAGGGAUUAAAUCUACAGGUCUCAUGAUGGAAAAAGGAGUGAAGAGACUGGUUGGUUGUUGUGAAAGUGUUGGGACACUGAGCCGGUGUGUCUGGGUGCUCAAGUGCACAGUGUAAGAGAGCAGGAAAUUUUUUUUAUACUUUUUAAUCAGACUAGAAAAGUGAAUGAAAAACAUUCAUUUAGUUUCUGAUGUCAGUCUGAAGUUCCUGCAGCCUUUGACAGUGACAACAAAUAGAUAACUGAUUGUUUUCUCUCUCCAUUGACAAAAAAAAGCUAAACUGGUUUUCACUUUUGUUUACUGUUGAUGUAUUCAUUAUACUAAAUUGUGUGGUUGUAUAGCUUAGUCUCCAACACACACAACAAUUAUCAUAGUGUGUUGGUGACAGAUGGUGUCUUAACGUGUGGAUUUCUGCAUUGUUAUGCCUGUGGAAAGGGUGUAUGUGUUGUACUCCAUACUGUGAAAAUAGGUCUACUGAUUCUCACGGGGUGUAGAUGUGUCCCUUUGUUUAUAAGAACGUUUUAGAGCAUGUGCGCAUAUGUCAGUGUUGAAGAUGGCAAACACAAAGCAGCUGAUAUCUCACCCCCUCCAGUUAAACCUGAGACUGAGUGACAAUAUUGACUUAAUUUUAGAUUUGUUUAAAAGCAUUAACAUAUCAUAAAAAUCAUAACCUUCAUCUGUAUCGGCUAAUUUUAACAUACUAAAAAUAAUAUCAUUGUUGAUGCCUCAGGUGCAAGGUCAUCUAUCACUGGACCCCCAUAUUAAUACUUGCAGCUGCACCCAUGUACACAAAGGAUAGACACUCAGUAAUAAAGUCCAUUUAUGAGUUUUAUUAAAUCAGUUUAUUAUCACUUUUAUUACAGGUCUGUGUUAGAAUUACAGUCAUCUAUUUCUUGAUCGCAGUCUUUUGUGAUUACUCACAAGCCUACAGUUGCAUGGGUAAGGAGCUGUUGAGUAUUGGUAGCUCUACACCCUUCAUCCUAACUAUUUUUGUUUUAGUGCCACAGCAAUCAUAAACCUGAUUUUCAAGAGCAGUGGGCAGAUGUUUCAGUGAAAUUAGUAACAAACAGCCAAAGUUAGUAAAAUGCUUUUGAACCACAUAAAGCUCAAAAAUCAAAUUCCUUAUUUUUCUCAGAGCAGUGAAUGGAGAACAGCUCAGAAACUUAUUAUAUAACUGCUUUCCCAUUGCUAUCAGCAACAAGCAACACUGCUGAGACAACAGUUAAGAAAAAAAAUCAAGUAUAAAUACAAGAAAGCAGUCAUUUGCAGAAAUUAUCAAGAGUAGCAUAAGGACAAAGUUUGCAUUUCUCCACUGAGGUCCUUGAUUGCAGGGAGAACAAGGAUAAUCAUUUGGCAGCUAAGUCGACUGUAGCAUGAUGUUCACAAAGAGAUGAUGAUGUCUCUUUCCGCUGUUCAUUCACUCUUCUUGGAAUGAAUCAUUAUUCAUUCACUCUCCUUGUUUGGCCAGCUUGAAUCACCGGAUCAAAGAUCCAUUCUUGCAUCGGAUGAUGUCAGCUGAACCAACUCCACGACAGCUGAGUCACUCCAUUUGCUGAUGAAGACUGUGAGAUGGGUGGAGGUCAGUUUUUAAAAUUGCCUUGCUGUUAACUUGUGUGUGUAUUUUUGCAGUAUGUGGGUGUGUAUUUUCAGGGAGGAGGAGGCGGCUGAAGCUAGGCUGUAGCAUUACACGAGUUUUUGGAAAUAAUUUUGACUCAGGGUUGUAAUUUCUCUCAUAAUUUAGAUUUGUUGUGAUAAUUAUUGGGAAAAUUGGUGUUUGAGGAUUUUUGCAUGAACACAAGUACACAAAGAGUAGUCACACGGCUUUAACAUGGUCUAAAACUCAGUGACAAAACCGACUUUCCUACUCUGUUUACGUAAUACAUGGAAGAUUGGAGUUGCAUAAGUAAUUGAUCAAAUUUUGACCCUCAAGACUUGCUGUAUAUGACAAGGAAAUAACAAGUAUCUCAUAUACUAUCUAUAGACACAAUGUCACCUUUUCUGGCAACUGUGGGGUGUGACGUAAACUUCUUUCAUAAGUGCCAAUAUAUAUUGUGCUGAUGCAGCCAAAACAUACGCGGAGGAAAUCUGGGUGGUAGCCUAACAGGACUGACGUCACACUGACGGCAGUGAUGGGCAGUAACGGCAUUACAGUUGGCGACGUAGCAGCCAAAUUUCUCAGUAGCUUGAUGAUGGUAUAGCAGUUUUCUGGAUCAUAAUGCUUGUCCUUUUAGAUUAGAUUUUUUUUUUCUUUCUUUUUUUGUGGAGCAUCCCAAGUCGGCCCUGAAGAUGGGUUCAAACGAGGGGACACAUAUUUCCCUGAUAACCCACUUAAUGGACCCAUAAAGAUAACCAUUGCCUGGUCAGUCUGUAAACAACUCUAGAUAGCUAACACAGUACAUACGGUCAAGAAGAGGCGCACAAUAAACGAGAUCAUAAAAGAGAAACUGGGAUUGUUUUUUUCCGGUUGACCAUACUGUUAGAAAUCACACAUUGUUUAUAUUUGUAUGUGAUGCGCAGAGACCCAAAGAGAGAAGGUCUGACUAUUUUCUUUAAAAAAUUGACUGUCAUAGAAACUUUUGACUUUAC
rnacentral:lncRNA from 1 species